rnacentral:rRNA from 1 species
GACGAACGCUGGCGGCGUGCUUAACACAUGCAAGUCGAACGGAAAGGCCCUGCUUUCGUGGGGUGCUCGAGUGGCGAACGGGUGAGUAACACGUGAGUAACCUGCCCUUGACUUUGGGAUAACUUCAGGAAACUGGGGCUAAUACCGGAUAGGAGCUCCUGCUGCAUGGUGGGGGUUGGAAAGUUUCGGCGGUUGGGGAUGGACUCGCGGCUUAUCAGCUUGUUGGUGGGGUAGUGGCUUACCAAGGCUUUGACGGGUAGCCGGCCUGAGAGGGUGACCGGCCACAUGGCGACUGAGAUACGGCCCAGUCUCCUACGGUGGGCAGCAGUGGGGAAUAUUGCACAGUGGGCGGAAGCCGGAGGCAGCAGCGCCGCGUGCGGGAUGACGGCCUGCGGGUUGUAAACCGCUUUCGCCUGUGACGAAGCGUGAGUGACGGUAAUGGGUAAAGAAGCACCGGCUAACUACGUG